GGGGCUGUGGCUCAGUGGAAAAACUUCUGCUUCUCAUGCAGAAGGUUCCCGGUUCAAUCCCUGGCAUCCCCA